UGGAGGAGAGGACGAGACCCGGGAACUUGUGCAGGUUGGAUGGUGCUAGUUUAAAGCUUCCGCGGCGUUUUGCGUGAGGAACUUGGGAGGACCGGGAAGGAAGGGUAUGUGUGACCGGAGGAACAUGACUUGGUUUUGUACCUUCUGUCACCUCCGGUUUUCUCAGAACGCAACAUAAGCCGGGCGUUGAUGAUGCACGCCUUUAAUCCCAGCACUCGGGAGGCAGAGGCAGGUGAAUCCCUGUGAGUUCGAGACCAGCCUGGUCUACCGAGCGAGGUCCAGGACAGGCUCCAAAACAAUACAGAGAAACCCUGCCUCGCAAAAACAAAAACAAAAAAACCAUAAGCAAAUGAACUAGCAUCACUGUUCAUCUGCUUAUGUUUCGAGGAGAGGGGUGCAAUGUUUGGUCAGUGCUCUGGGGGAGGUUACAGUAGGGCAGCGUCCUGUCCUAUCCUCUCUGUAUCUGCUUCAUUCUUCGCCAGUCUCUCUCCCAUCCCGAGACCUGGACUACAGCCUGCGAGUGCACUCGAAAGGGCCAAAACUCUUUAUUAUUUAGCUUCGCUCUUAAUAAAAUCAUUUGCUCAACAUAUGGUACUGUUUGCCAGGGGUGGGGCAUGUCCACACGAAAGCACAGCUCUCACCUCAAAAGGAAUAAGUUUAUUCUGGAGCCAAUUAUGAGUGACCCUGGCCCAGAAACACAGUUUUAGGAUAACCCAAAUUCAAUGUUCCAACGUGAAAGCAGUUUCAGGACGUUUGUGUAGUGUAGUAGCAGGACAAAGAAAGCCAUAAUUCAAGACAUAAAAUGCAUUGGAGGAAACAUUAAGUAGAUGAUAAGACCAAAGAAGAAAAUCCUUAGUUUAUCAAAAUGUUAGGUCUGACAUAGAAUGUCCAGAAACCUACUGGUGGAGAUGGAGCAGCUACUUGGGGCAGCUGUCUGAGAUCCUUUCAACAGUGGUCAGGGCAGUCCAGGGGAGACAGAGAUGCAGGAGGAUCAAAUGAAAACAUGGGGCAGACCCAGAGAGGAUGGGGUGGUGUCUGUGAAGAAAAGCAGUCCUCAGAAGGUCAUGCAGAUGGCUCAACAGCAUGACUGUGGGUGUGAUAUGCAUUACAGCAGAAUGCCUGCCAUGUACCAGGCUCUUUAAGAUGUCCGCUUGUGGAGCAGCCCCAAGACUUGCUGGGAGAGGAAUGGUGGACCUGGUUAGGUGACUCACACAGCUGAAGAAGGCAAAGCUCUUGACUAUUUCUUCACACUGACCCAGCAUGUACUGGGGUGUAAAGCAGAACCAGCAUGUUCUUUCAACGGUGUUUCUUGCUGCUUCAGUGGCAUGGUGGUCUCUCAGGAGGUGACUCUUCAUCCCCUCAUGCAACUUGGAGGCUGGCCAGUUUUGCGACACCUGGGAUUGACGGUUCAUCUUCAUUAUCAUCUUGACUGGAUUUGAAAUCACAUUGGGGGACACUUCAGGGUGUGUCUGUAAUAGUGUCUCCAGAGACAUUUAACUGAGGGAAGAGCCACUCUAAAUGUGGGUGUCACUAUCCCAUGGACUGAAGCCAAGACCGAAAGAAAGAAAAGGAGAAAGCCCGAGGAGCACAGUCAUCAUCUCUCUCCUGCUUCCUGGUCCACUGAAAUGUGAGCAGGCAGCCUCAAGCUCCUGCCACGUGCUUUCCUCACCGGGAUGAGCUAUCACCCUCAAGAACCCAAAUGAACCUUUCUUCCCUCAAGGUGCUCCUUCUCAGGUGUUUUGUCACAGUAAUGGAAAAGGUAACUGGUACACAGGGGUAGCAGGCAGUUGUAAAGAUGGACUCCAAGGGUCAUCCCAUGCCCUACCCAUCACUCAACCAGACACUAAUCUAGGUACUGCUGGACAGGAGUUGCACUUCGCAUCAGUGUCCCAAGACCAUUGUCCUUGAGGUAGUGAGCAACUUGUAAGUUUGAGGUUUUGAGCCCUUUAGAGGCAGCGGAAAGUGGGAUCCAGGUGAAGUCAGGAGGAAAGGUAGAAUCCCCGCCCCUGGCUGGAAGGCGGAGGUGUGACCCUAGGAGAGGCUGAAGCCAGUCAGACUAUGAGCAAUUCAAACCUGCAGCCUCCAAGAGUGGAGAUUACCAGCCACUGGGUUGCACCUGAGCGUGGGCCCUUCCCCAGAACCCAGUGUCAGGAGAGCCAGUUUAUUCACAGAAGCCACAGCACUGCCCCAUGAGGCAACAUUGCUGCCUUCUCCCUGCUUUGUUCUAUUCUUACUGUGAGCUUUGAUGUGUAGAAUGGAAAUGUGUCCUGAACCUUGGUUCCUAAGCACAUAAGCUCCAAAUGGAAAGAUCUCUGGUAGGAAAAACGUCAGUGGAGGAGGGCGUGCCCUGGAUGGUCCAGUUGAAGUCACCUCCAGCAGACACUUUGUGGGAGUUGAGCAAACACAAAAUUAGCCUCCAUUUCCUGGGAACAUUUCAGGGCUGGAUGCAGUUGACUGGAACUAGUGGCAUCUGGGUUGUCCCCAGCGUACUCACAGGGGUGGGUGUGAAGUGGCCUUAGCUGGUCCAAAGGAGAGUUGGAGGUGCUGAAGUCCCAGGAUCCUGAUGACCACAUCUUAUGAAGCUGGUGGGUUGAGAGAAGGUUUGAUUGUAAAAGUGGCUAUGUUGUCUGCCUGAAGCCCCAUGCUCCAUGAACCCUUUGGUGGUUGGUCAGAUUGGUCAGACAGAAAAAUGUCAGAAUUGGGAAGGUGCCAUGGGUACAGUGAAGUGAGGAGUCUUAUGCAAUAGGGGGUGCUCAUCAGGGGAUGCUGGGAAGUGACUUACAGAAUCAUUUAGGAAUGACAGUUUUUCCCUUAUGGGUUCCCUUUCUAUUGGUUGCUGGCCCAGGCAUGCCUGCCAUCCCAGUUCACCCACUAUGGGGGAGAUGGCUGUGUGGACAAUUACUACACACAGCGCUAUGAAAGGGCCAGCAUUUACUCCCUCAUAGUUCUGGGAGGCAGAAGUCUAGAGUCCGCUUCCCUGGGCUGAAGCCAGGGCAUGACAGAGCUGGCUCUCCUUGGGGCCCCAGGGAAGCUGCACGAGGCUUUCUUGACUGUGUGCCGCCCGUGUAUCUCCCACCACCAUCUGCCCUUCCUCUGCGGCUCCCUCCAGCCCUCCUCACCCCCCACAUCAGAGAAAGUUCAUGAUUACAGUGAGACACAGGUGUCCUCAGUUCCUUAACUACUUCUGUGUGGCUGUGUUACUGCAGCGCUCAGAAUAGGGCACAUCUGGGUGCCGUCAUUUAGCUCUGAGGAAGAACAGUGCCACUGUUUGGAUCUGCUGUGUCCCAGAAGCAUGCAUGCUGGAAGCUUGGUUCCCAGUACAGCAGUUUUCAGAGGAAGGUGACUGGAUCGUGACUGGAUCAUGUCAGUGUGAAAAUUCACUGAUGUACUUAGAGGCUAAUGGGUUUGGGGGCAGAAACUUGCUAUAAGAGUCCCUCCCUUGCUUCCUGAUGGCCAUCGGGUGGGCAGAUGCCCUACUACAUGCUCCCUACCAUAAAUUCUUAUCUCACCAUAGGCCAGAAUCAAUGGUGGCAGGGGUGAAACCGCAGAAGUCAUGUGAAGAACAGGCCCUUCCCCCUUUCAGGUGAUUGUUUCAGCUAUUUUAGCACAGCCAUGGAAAGCUGACAACACACAGGGCUGCCAACAAAACCCACAAAUGAACCCUACUCCUCUGUGCAUUAUGGAGAAAGAAUAUUCCAAAAGAGACUCCUCCCUGCCAGAGUAGACAGCUGAGAGUCUGCCACAGAGGAGAGAAGGUGCGCUGCAAGGAAGAUUCCGAGCUGCAGAGAAGACUCUCGGAGGAGAAAAGCUGCAAAGAAGACUCAGAGAAGACCAGCUGACCACCUGGAAGAAGCAGACACCAGCGGAGCACCUGGAAAGGACACCCCAACCUGUCGCGAUGCCUGCAGGCUGGGCAGUGUCCUCCAGGCUCCCAGCAGUGGGAGCGCUGACUCAUGCUGGGGUGGGCUUUGCUGAUGCAGCUGUUUUUGAGCCAUUUCUGCUCCUGUAAGUGACCCCUCACCCACACUCCUGUGAGCAACCCCAAUAACGCCUUCAUUUGCCAAAUUGAACUUUGGUGGUAUCCAUAUUUCAGUCUGUCGUGGGUUCCCUAUCUGGGAUGAGCAGGCAUGUGUUGAACCCCCCCCCAAAUUUGUGUCACACAACAGGUGGCACCAUCCCAUAGACAGGGGUGCUGGAAUGGGAUAAAAAGGGAAAGUCAGUCAGCCUCUCUCUGUUUCUGCCUCCCCCUCCCCCACUCUGUCACUCUCUUGCUUUCUCCACCUCCAUCUCUACCUCCCCCGUUUUCCUCCCCCCCAUCUGUUCCCUUCUCCUUAUCUCCCUUCCCUCUCCCCUCUCUCCCCCCUCUCUCUGUCCCCUAUGCAUCACCCCUCCUUCCCUUCCUCCCUGCCUUCCUCCUUCAGGCUUCCUUGAGGUAAGCAGGCUUUCCACAGCUUCAACCACCAAGAUGCUCUGCAUCACCACAGAGCCAAGGCCUGAACCACCCAGGAACCCUGAAGCAAAUCCAGCGGUCCCUCUAAGGUUGAGAACUUCUGUUAUGAACUCGCCGCUGAGAUGGGAAACUGAGGAAAGCAGCAUGCUCCAGAAGAGGAGAGCAGUUAGCAGCAACUUGGCAAUCUCUCCCUGCAGUGCCCUUCCUGUGUGACACCCAGAGAUCUGUGGGUAGUGGCAAGUUUUCUUUUCUUUGGUCUUAGCUACUGCUAAUAAUGAACAUAUAUUAUUUUUAAAUUAAA